AACGUUUAUCCCAAAGUUACACCCUAUAGAAAUAAACUGAAGUGAACUGUGUUCGUGUUGAUGUUAGUUUGACAGAUAUGUGUGUCAGACAUUUCUGAAAACAAGGAACAAAUCGCUUCCUUAUUGGUUCAAUACGGGACGAAAUGUUUAACUGGCAAAUAAAGGACGAUUCCGUUCUGAUGGUGGUUCAGGAUGGGCUGCUUCUUCUAGGCCUCACCGCAACCCUGAACAAGUAUGAACACAUUCAAUGCUGACCUCCUCCUCCUCCUCCAGAUGGCAGCAGAUCCCCACCUGAGCUACAUCUUUUUAUGCUUUGCUUCAUGUUUUACUCCAGCUGCUGCUAGUGGGGCUCCUCCACCUCCUCCACCUGGGCCAGCACUGCAGGGAACAUUUUCCUCCAUAGAGCUGAUAAAAGAGAGGAGUGGAAGAAGAAAGAUGAGCAGAUGGUUGAGGUUUCAAGGCCUGCAGAAAUCCCCAGCAUGCUGGACAUCCUAAAGGACAAAGACAAGGUGAAGCUGCAGUCUGUGAAAAGCCGUUUAGAGGAAGCUGUAGUCAAAAUGAAGCCAACAUUGGAAGAAAUCAAAAUAUAGAUAAGUAAUUUUUUUUUUUAAUA